rnacentral:rRNA from 1 species
AUACGUAGGGUCCAAGCGUUAAUCGGAAUUACUGGGCGUAAAGCGUGCGCAGGCGGUUGUGCAAGACCGAUGUGAAAUCCCCGAGCUUAACUUGGGAAUUGCAUUGGUGACUGCACGGCUAGAGUGUGUCAGAGGGGGGUAGAAUUCCACGUGUAGCAGUGAAAUGCGUAGAGAUGUGGAGGAAUACCGAUGGCGAAGGCAGCCCCCUGGGAUAACACUGACGCUCAUGCACGAAAGCGUGGGGAGCAAACAGGAUUAGAUACCCUGGUAGUCCACGCCCUAAACGAUGUCAACUAGUUGUUGGGGAUUCAUUUCCUUAGUAACGUAGCUAACGCGUGAAGUUGACCGCCUGGGGAGUACGGUCGCAAGAUUAAAACUCAAAGG